AAUGGAAGCAUGGUAAAUUAUAUUUUUCUUCCUAAUUUUUAGUUUUUUUCACCUAAAAUAAUUUAAAUCCAACUAAAAAUACUAAAAAUUAUGAUGAAAAAUCUGAUUUGUCAUGCUCCUAUU
rnacentral:pre_miRNA from 1 species